UCAAACUUGGUCAUUUAGAGGAAGUAAAAGUCGUAACAAGGUAACCGUAGGUGAACCUGCGGUUGGAUCAUUAAAAAUUUUUAUAGUCUCUGGGGGAAAACUCUAGUUUACCCCAUGAUGGCUAUUAACACCUGUGCACUUUAUGUAUCUUGGGUAUAAAAUAUUAUACCCAAAAACUUGAUAAACCCCUAUUGAUUAUGUCUGAAAAUUUAUAUUAAAUAUAAACAACUUUUGACAACGGAUCUCUAGGCUCUCGCAUCGAUGAAGAACGCAGC
rnacentral:misc_RNA from 1 species